AUGAUAAUGUGACAUUUAAAUUAAUUUUAAAUAAAAUAUCAUAAACCUAAAAUAAUUAAAAAUAAAAAUAAUAAAAUAACAUCAGCACUUUUACAAUUAAAAAAGAUUAAAAAUAUAAAAUAAUAUCAUAAAGCAUGACGCAUAGACACCUUGAGUGUGUCAUUUCCCAUCAAAAUUAAAAAAAAACUGAAUUUAUAUGUCACAUAAUAGUUUUACAAUUUUUUUUAUCAAAACUCGUUUAUAUAGACAGGAAGUAAAAUGAUAUUUAACCGUUAUUAAAAUUAUUAAACAAAAAUAUAAAUUUGAAUAUUUAAUAUAUGUUUGUAGAGAAAUGAAACUACAAUAUAAAUACUAAGUAAAACAAAAAUCUAAUGUAAAAGGAACUACUUUAAAUUUGAGCAACAUAAUUGAUAUACAAUGUCUUAAAGAUUUUGAAUCCUAAGAGAACAAAUGUUUGCAUCUUAUGAACAAAUGAAAUAGAAAAACAAAAUUAUAAAAAAAAAACUAGUUAAAACUUUUUAAACAAGUCUAUAAGAUAACUACCUGUAAUUCAACUUUGAUAGCUUCUUCAUUCUUCAUUUCUUCGUGUUUCUAAUGUAUAUUCUUUGCAUCUGAGCGACUUUGUUUUCUUCCCUUUUUUAAAAAUAAAUCUUUUGUUAUCUUUACAUUUUGCUCAAGGGUCAUUUUUGAAUCCC
rnacentral:lncRNA from 1 species